rfam:Oryctolagus cuniculus unplaced genomic scaffold chrTn0059, whole genome shotgun sequence.
UGCUGAAUCAAGUGUCGAAGUCGUACCAGGAAUUCCUAGAGCCGGCCGUCCUAAGAAAGGGUAAAAGCGGCGGAACAGAGAGGGGUGCCGGGGAGGCAGCAGCAGGCCCAGCCGUGCCCUCAGCCGCAGCACUGAGGCCAGAGAAGGACAGCCUCUUGGAGCGCCGCAGUGUGCCUCU